rnacentral:rRNA from 1 species
ACCAGCAGCUGUAUCACCCUGCAACUCAACUGCCAACCCACCGAAGCUCAGCAGGUGUGUGCCUGGUCAGUACCUGGAUGGGAGACCUCCUGGGAAAAACUAAGGUUGCUGCUGGAA